UACGUAGGGUGCAGGCGUUAAUCGGAAUUACUGGGCGUAAAGCGUGCGCAGGCGGUCUUUUAAGUCAGAUGUGAAAUCCCCGGGCUUAACCUGGGAAUGGCAUUUGGGACUGCAAGGCUGGAGUGCGGCAGAGGAGACUGGAAUUCCUGGUGUAGCAGUGAAAUGCGUAGAUAUCAGGAGGAACACCGAUGGCGAAGGCAGGUCUCUGGGCUGACACUGACGCUCAUGCACGAAAGCGUGGGGAGCAAACAGG
rnacentral:rRNA from 1 species